rnacentral:lncRNA from 1 species
GGCUCUGGUGUAGGCCGGUGGCUACAGCUCCAAUUAGACCCCUAGCCUAGGAACCUCCAUAUGCUGUGGGAGAGGCCCUAGAAAAAGCAAAAAAAAAAAAAAAAAAAAAAAAAAAAAAAAAGGUAACACUCCCUUUUCAGAGGCACUCCAGGUCCAGUGAAGAGACAACUCUGCAGGGCCCUCACAUCUCCAAAGCUCAUCAUGGCUGUGACCCCAUCGUAGCUUAUGGUCUUCCUCCACCCAUUCCUGUACUCUUCCCAUUGUCAUAAAUGUUGAUCCUAAGGGUACUACCCGGUAAACUUCGUGUACAGAGAUCUCUGUCUCAGAAGCCAGAAAUCAUAGUGUGCAAUAAUUAGUGCUAGAAGUGAUCCAAGGAAGCGGACGGGAUCACCUAUUAGCAGCUGGCAGAGCCCUGAUCUAUCUUGGCGUGCAACGACAGUGAAAUUUAUUAAAACUUUUAGCCAUGGGCAUGUAGGAAUGUGCUGAUGGAAAUAAUGUAUCAGAUUUUUAAGAAGCAUAUCAAAAUAAUAAUUAUAAAGGCAAAAUAGAUGGAUUACUAUAUUAAGGAAAAUUGAUUAAUAGAGGAAAAAAUUGGAAGACUGAACAAUUAAAUUCUAAGAAGUCCUCCUUGACAGUAUGUAGACUCCAAUCUUGCACAGACAGGGAACAGGAAAAUCAGAUUUAAUAAUAAAAGCAGAAGGUUAAGAAAGUUGAAUUUUUAUCCCCAACAGGUUUGUUGUAUUAGUAGGAUUUCCAUGUAAAAUAGAGAGAGCUGUGGAAUUAAGUAAUACAAUAUGAUAUCUCUGUUAGCAAAAUAGAGGUAUUGAGAGUAUUUCUCAAUCUAUGCAAAGGGAAUAAAAUAAGGAUUGAUGGUCAGAAUCUAAAAGUAGCCAUCCCAGGAAAAAGUUGCAACAUCUUAGCUAAUACCUGAAUUCAAGCCAAUUUCCAAACUCAGAACCCAUGUACUGAAGCUGCAAAUUUCCAGAAGAGCCUUGCAACACUAUGGCAAGGAUAUGUGGCCAUUAAUCCCCAUUCCUUCUUCAAAGGAACCUAGUGCCAUUGACUUCAGGAACUAUAUGAUAGCAAAAGCAGAAUGCUCAAAAGAUAUUGAAAACUGUCAUACUCAAGGGAAACUGGCAUUGACAACUAAGGACCCAAAAUUUCAUCAAGCCCUUUUGAUAGAGUGGGGUUUAUGGAGGCCAGGUAAUAAAUGGAAUCUUGGCCAAGUGUGGCUCAUGACUUCAUCUUAGUAAGGCCAGGUGAACAAGAUGUGGAAGGAAGUUGGAAUCCUUGGGGAGACAAGUACACUGCAGAGGAUAUGAAGUGAUCCCUAUAAAUAUUUGGAGGCUGGAGUUUCUGCUGUGGCACAGUGAGUUAAUGAUCUGGCUUGUCUCUGUGUAGGUGCCAUUUCAGUUCCGUGUAGGGUCACAGCUCCGACUCAGAAUCAAUCCCUGGCCCAGAAACUUCCAUGUGCCACACAGUGGCCCAAAAAGAAAAAAAUAAAAUAAAAA